UUCAUUUUUUCAUACCAAACGCUACCCUAACACCCUCUCUCCUCCCCUCCUUUGCCCUUUACCCUAACCCUAGCCACCACCUCAUUAUGUUUCUCUGUCAUGCCAAAAAUGACAACGCUAGAGAAGGCACGAGGUUUUUGCAUCCUUCAUACGACCGUUUAUAUGAUAUAAUUAAUGGUUUUGUCCUUGUUUCUACCUUCCUCAUUCCAAACGCGAGUUGGGAGCACAAAGGAGCUUUCGAGUCCCAUUCUUGACCAAGGCUAUAUUUAAAAAAGAGCACCUGGUCGGAUCUACUUCUCUGACCUUUCAGCUUCCACUCUAGUUUUCCAAGGUGAGCAUGGAGACCGCUGGCCUUGAAGACUCUUUGAUUACUUAUGUCUUACUUUCUACUCUGAGACAUGAUUUGAGACUACUUAUGUAUUAUUAUUCAGACUUGUAGUAUUUGGAUUUUGAUGCUCUUGUAUGACCAAACCGUAUACUGGGUUGGAUUUCAUUUACUUCCACACUAGUUGAUAUUAUAUUUUAUUAGUGAGACUUACGUUAUU